CACAGAGCACAGAUCGGCUCCAGCACGUCGCGAAUGAAUGGAUUCCCUGCAAAUCCACCUCUCUCGGAUGCUUUUGAGCGCAGCCUUCUCAUAGGCUAUUAUUAAUUUCCAGUCAUCUGUGGGGAGAGUGCUGCCGUUCUGUGGUUAGGCUACAUGAUUAUCUCACCAACGCUGUGGACACUGAUCGUUGAUCAUGCCAAGUGCACUGAUUUGAGACCAGCUUUGACUUCAGAGUCGCAUCAGCGCUGCUGGGUGGACACAGAGCUGAUCAUCUGGAGAGGGUUUCUGCAACAAUUUGUUGCAAACAUUGUGAGGGGCGAAGUCAUGGUGCCGUUACCACAUCGGCUUCUCAUGGCACCGUGAGAACUUUGUUCUUCCUGACUCCCCCCCUUUCCCCCUUUAUUUCUUUUACAUGUUUGUCAGCGGGAUCGUGCUUCUUUGGGAAAAUAUCCACCAUUUUGCGUUUCAAUUAUGUUCACUUUUGCUGCCUUCUGCUACAUGCUGUCUCUGGUCCUCUGUGUGUCCCUGAUCUUCUUUGCAAUAUGGCACAUAACAGCUUUUGAUGAGCUUCAGGCGGACUUCAAGGUUCCAAUCGAUCAGGGCAAUCCACUCCAUGCGAGGGAGAGACUGCGGAACAUUGAGAGAAUCUGCAACUUACUGAGGAAGUUGGUGCUACCUGAGUACUCCAUCCAUGGACUCUUCUGCAUCAUGUUCCUGUGUGCUCAAGAGUGGCUGACUGUGGGCCUCAACAUCCCCCUGCUCUUCUACAACACGUGGAGUAGGUACUUCCAUUCCCCGACGGACACUAAGGAGCUGCUCUACGACCCAGCAUCCGUGAUGAAUGGCGACACACUCAAAUUCUGCCUAAAGGAGGCCUGGUGCAAGCUGUCCUUCUUCGUCCUCUCCUUUUUCUACUAUCUCUACUGUGUGUGGAACCUGGAUAUAUCCCUCUAAUAGGUCUUAUCAAUGGAAACACUUAAAGCUCAUGCUGUGUUAGAGACCACUGGCAGCAGCAGCAGCAGCAGCAGCAGUGAGUAUGAUCUACUCCUUGAUUACCUCAUAUAACGACUGAUAUGUCAGCAACUGGAAAGAAACAAAAACCCUCUGGAUACGCAGAUUGCCACUGUCUUAUUUGAGAAUAGAAAGUGAAGAAAUUUCAAAGUAAAGAAGAGAUUUUUUUUUUCUUUUUUUGCUGUGAAGUCAAACAAUGAACUGCAUGGGGGUCAAGCUUCUUUUCUGACUAGUCCCCUUAAGACAGAAGGACAUGUUUUAUGCUCGCCUGUUUAUAAAAACUGAAGACAGUCCUGUUUACAGUUUGACUGGUCGUAGCAAGACCCGAGUUAAUCACUGCCUGGCCAACGUUUGUACCACACAAACACACACACGCACACACACACACACACACACAUACACGCAAACAAAAACACAUUUUAGCACACAUCCACAGCCUCCUCUGGAGUGGUACGGUACUUACUGUACAGUAGCAGCGCAAGUAGCCCAGGGGACGAAGAACACAGUAGCAUUUGCACUGUUUGUCUCAGGCACAGCAUGGUGAAGCACCGUCCAGCACAGCACAGCUCACCAACCCUCAGUCAUUCCUCCUCCUCCUCAAUGUCUCACAAACUGUAGCUAAACAGACGAGUCCAAAACAAGGGAUGAAUGGACGAGAUAACACUGUACAGAAAAGAAAACGUUCUGGGGGAACUGCCAGAGCAGCCAGUUCUCUAUAUUUUCUCCUGGAUAGCACAGUCCAUGGCCCAUAGGUUUUUCUUUUUAACAUUAUGUGAAUGGCUUUUGUGACGUGUGCAUUUUGGUGUAUUCUUUAACAAAAGGCAUUUCUAAUUGAGUUAUGAUCUACAGCAACCAGUAUUCUAUACAGCAAAUGCCUUCUUAGUGUUGUCCUAGUGUCGUUCUAUUGUGGGAAACUUUUCUAAAACUCUGACUAAAAACUGACACCUGUCGAAGCUUUUAUAGUAGAGGAGCACACAUUCUUUGCACAAAUAGUGUCUUGCACAAUAUUCUCAAUAUUUGGCUUUAUAUUAGAGAUCAAUUAAGAUAGUCUAGCCACACAGGUUAGGGUCUUCCAACAUAUAAAGAUAUAUCCAGCCCUAUUUAAAGAUGGGGGGACAAUGUGAAUCUUUUCUAGCUUGAUUUACACCAUGGACCAUAAUGAUGUCUUUUCAGUAUUGAAAUGUAUUUAUUUAUGUCUAUUUAUGAGAUACUGACGGCUUGCCUCCAUGCACUACCUUAAACUAAAUAUUUUUUUCCAAUGUAAGCAGACCAUGAUAAGACAGAAUGAGUAGUGAAUAAAGCAGAAGAUGAGAAAGGUGCUGAGGAUUGAUCUGUCUUUCUCUGUGAUUUGAAUAAAAGCAACUGUAGCAGAUGAUGCAAAUGAUACAUGAGAUCUGUGUGAGCUGUCUAGGAAUAUUGAGGUACCGUACAGUGAUCCCAGAGAGAAAGUUGCUCCCUUCCAUAUGCAGGUCAAAGUGUCUUUCACAGAGACACGAGCAGGCCAAGGGCUUGAACCUGCCUCUUCCAUGUGUAGCACAAUUUUCUAACCACCAUCACCUUCACACAGUGAACUCACUUCUUAAGCUGCUACUCCAGGAGCAGAUAGGAAUGCCCAAUUCUUGUUUUCUCUUAUUCUAGUUCCAAGCAUUUUCUAUUCUUACUGUGUAUGUGACCAACCAUGUUGAAUUUAGAUAUUGUUUAUGAAA